rnacentral:rRNA from 1 species
GAAUUAACUUCGGUUAAUUUUAGUGGCGGACGGGUGAGUAACACGUGAGAAUUCGCCUUUAGGAGGGGGAUAACGGAUGGAAACAUUCGCUAAAACCCCAUAUGCCCCUGGGUGAAACAGAGGAGAUAAGUAAUACUGACUCUUACCUCUGCCUGAAGAGAAGCUCGCGGCUGAUUAGCUAGUUGGUAGGGUAAAGGCCUACCAAGGCGACGAUCAGUAGCUGGUCUGAGAGGACGAUCAGCCACACUGGAACUGAGACACGGUCCAGACUCCUACGGGAGGCAGCAGUGAGGAAUUUUCUGCAAUGGGCGAAAGCCUGACAGAGCAAUACCGCGUGAGGGAUGAAGACUUACUGAGUUGUAAACCUCGGUACCUUAAGGAAGAAGAUCUGACGGUACUUAAGGUGGAAAGCAUCGGCUAACUCCGUGCCAGCAGCCGCGGUAAGACGGGGGAUGCAAGUGUUAUCCGGAUUUACUGGGCGUAAAGCGUCUGCAGGUGGUUUUCUAAGUCUACUGUUAAAUCUUGAGGCUCAACCUCAAAUCUGCAGUAGAAACUAGAAGACUUGAGUAUAGUAGGGGUAGAGGGAAUUUCCAGUGGAGCGGUGAAAUGCGUAGAUAUUGGAAAGAACACCGAUGGCGAAGGCACUCUACUGGGCUAUUACUGACACUCAGAGACGAAAGCUAGGGGAGCAAAUGGGAUUAGAUACCCCAGUAGUCCUAGCCGUAAACGAUGGAUACUCGAUGUUGGACGUAUCAACCCGUUCAGUAUCUUAGCUAACGCGUUAAGUAUCCCGCCUGGGGAGUACGCUCGCAAGAGUGAAACUCAAAGGAAUUGAC